rnacentral:rRNA from 1 species
ACGUAGGGGGCAAGCGUUAUCCGGAUUUACUGGGUGUAAAGGGAGCGUAGACGGAGUGGCAAGUCUGAUGUGAAAACCCGGGGCUCAACCCCGGGACUGCAUUGGAAACUGUCAAUCUAGAGUGCCGGAGAGGUAAGCGGAAUUCCUAGUGUAGCGGUGAAAUGCGUAGAUAUUAGGAGGAACACCAGUGGCGAAGGCGGCUUACUGGACGGUAACUGACGUUGAGGCUCGAAAGCGUGGGGAGCAAACAGG